rnacentral:lncRNA from 1 species
CCAGAAGCCACGGGAACGAACGAGAGCACGAUCGGGCUCGGGGGCAGGGCGGCCGCCCACCCCCCUUGGGCGCCCGCCCAGGGUUGGAACCCAAUCGGGACUCUGCUUCGGGGCAAAACUCCACCGACCUAAAGGAUCAAUCUAAACCACACAAUCAAUGUCGGUUUGAUCUGACGGCCCAAAUUCACUUGAAGGGACUAUAAAACCAAGGCCUACCCCCCUGGAAAAGAGGAGAAGAGAUGAAAUCAUUAUGCAGAGGUAGCCAUCAAAGUUAGGGUUUAGAGCUUCUCUCCCACAGAGAAUUAGAAUUAGCUACUCCCUAAUCCUUUAAGUUUAGAGGUUUGAUUAGAUAGCAAUUAGAGAAGUAGAGCACUACGCUCUGGAUUCGGAUCUUCGGUAAUAAAGAUUGGUAUUAUUCACAUCUUUCUCUAAUUCUUUGUUCUAAUUGCAUUAUGUCUCUAAUUAUUAUGUUCUUAGUUUUCUCUAGUUCUAUAUUUGAUAUAGUUCUAAUUGAUAAUGAGUUUAUGUAUAAGUUUGCAAAGCGCUUAGCUCUUGACGCGAGGGAGUUAGGUGAUAGAUCACAUGUGAGCGUGGUGCUUAGAUGUUAUUUAUCUGCAAAUGUAUCCUAUUGGCCGGGUCGUGUGGUAGUUCGCGAUAGUGACAGCUUCAUUGAUUCUUAUAUAGUCCACCCUCCGUUGAUAGGACAGGCAGAACCGGUAUUGUGGAGUAAGUCAUGCGAUGCUCUGAUUUACUUUAUCAAUGUUCCUUAUACAUGAAUGAAGAGUCUUUUAUGCUAUAUAUGAUCUUGAAGAUAACUAGAGUAGAUUAUGACUUAGUAGUUAGUAGAUAACUUAGAAUCCAUUCUCUAGCUAAUCCGACAUCACCUACAUAUGAGUAGUCUAUUUUCUAAUCGCUGUGUUAUCUACCCAUGAACUUAUAAUUCAUUAUCAUGAUCUUUAUGGUUUACCCCCUACUAAAGUAAGUGACUGUGUGAUGAGUUUCUCAUUAGUAAUCAUGUUCUUGCAAGUUUAUCUCUAGUCUAUGCCUUGAUAGAUUUUGCCCCUCACUUUAAUUAGAUCCCUUGAGCAAAAUUAUAAAUAACGAUACCUAGAAUACUUAUCCUGGUGAAAUGCUACAAUGAGGUGUUUUAUCUGUGCGCUUGCGGAUAGAAUAGAUUAUUUUCUAGAGAGUCUUUACAUUUAUAAAUACCUUUGUACACUCUGGCACCAUGCUGGGGAUGACAACCUAGUAUCUAAGUGGUGUUAGCUAGUGUCAACAAGCAUUUCUGGCGCCGUUGCCGGGGAAUCUCAUGAAUAAGUCAUAAAGGGGAACAAAAGGGUAAUACUUAGGAAAGCCAGAAAAUCAGUCAAGGUUAUUCAUAUAAAAUAUUAGACUAGACUAUAGAGAAAUAAUUGCAUAAAAACAGCUACUAAGUGAGAAAUCAUAACAAGGCACCUCUGCUUUAGCAGGUUCACCCUGUUGUUUUUCUAUGUUUAUAUUUUUAUACAGGGAAUAUCAGGAUUGACUUUGGGUACAUUCAACUCUUCAUCAUCAGAACCAAAGCAAUCAAGAGAAGAAGAAGCUAGCUACCAAUUGCUGAAGCUAUGGCACAGAAGACCCUACAAGAAUUCUCUGCUCCAAGCCUUGAGAACAUUCUAACUGGUCCAAGAUUUGCAGUAGAAGAAGGAAUACCUGAGUUUGAGCUCAAGUCAAGCCUCAUCAAUUUGGUGCAAGCUACACAAUUCAGUGGAAAGGCACAUGAAGAUGCUAGUGCACACUUGCAGAAUUUCUUAGAGAUUGGGAGCACAAUCCACAUCAACGGAGUUGACAAAGACGUCAUACUGCUUCGCCUUUUUCCAUUCUCACUAGAAGGGAAAGCGAGGAAGUGGUUCUACACUCAUCAAGAUAACAUCAACAACUGGACGAACUUGUCAGAUGCCUUUCUAUCAAAGUAUUUCCCUAUAGGCAAAACAACUGCCUUAAGAGGAAAUAUUGUCAGUUUCCAACAGCAGAAGACAGAAGCCAUUUCAGAAGCAUGGGAGCGUUUUCAAAGAUACAUAUCAGAUUGUCCUCACCAUGGAAUGGCCACAUGGUUACUUAUGCAGACCUUUUACCAUGGAUUAUCCCAGAUGGCUCGUGAGUGCCUAGAUGCAUCUGCUAAAGGAUCAUUCUUGGAGCUUACAACUGGAAAAGCAGAGAUACUUUUGGACAAGAUAGCAGAAAACCAAAGCUUGUUCCAAGACAAAGCUCAACAAUGUCAUCAAACUGAAGAAAUACCAGAAGAAGUAAAUGCAUUAUCAACUAAGAUGGAAAAUUUACUCCAUUGGAUUGACCAGAGGGCCAAGUUCAAAGAAGAUCAAAGGGCCAUUGAGACAGCAUACAAAUAUCAACCAACUUCGAGUCAACCCAAUAGCAAAGGUAUGAAUUCAGGUAAUACUUUCAAGCAACUUUCAUUAAAAGAGAUAAUUGCUCAACAAACCAAAAUUAAUGAUGAAGUUAAACAAAGGCUAGAUACAAAUGAAUCAUCUCUAAAAGAUAUACACAAUAAAAUGGAUUUUCUACUAACUGCCUUUGAUGAGCAAAACACUCUUAAGAAAAGGGUAGAGCUUAAAUUAAUAAAGAUAGCUGCUGCACUGCCUAUUGCUACUAACAUUGACCAGGUAAAGAAUAUAACUACUAGAGGAGGAAAAGCCACCAGAGAUCCCCCAUACCCAAAAGAGAAACAAAGAAUGUCAGCACCAGUGCAACCAGCAGUGAUAGCAGAAGAAAGCCCAGUUGAAGCAGAAGAUCUGCUCCAACCACCAAGAACCGGAGAAAUGAGGAAAGAUUUUUACGACACCAACUAUUUGCCAUUUCCUAGAAGAAACAGAGAACUGCAGUCGGAUGAGCAGUUCGGUAAGUUUGUAGAGGUCAUUCAGAAAUUAUAUGUCAACAUACCUCUGCUCGAUGCCAUACAGGUACCUACAUAUGCAAAGUACAUCAGAGAUAUUCUUAACAAGAAGAGACCACUGCCCACCACUAAGGUUAUCAAGCUGACAGAAGAAUGCAGUGCGGCCAUCCUUAACAAACCACCAAAGAAGAAGGAAGAUCCAGGAUGCCCCACUAUUGAUUGCUCGAUCGGAAACCAACACUUCAACAAUGCACUUUGUGAUCUCGGAGCAAGUAUCAGUGUGAUGCCAGCAUCAGUCUACAAGAAGCUUGAGCAUGCAACCCUAGAACCAACAUCAAUGUGCCUACAACUAGCGGAUCAAUUGGUUCGACACCCGUUGGGCAUCACCGAGAACAUUCCAGUCAAGAUUAGAGAUUUCCUGGUGCUAGUAGACUUCGUAGUACUGGACAUGAGUCCUGACUCAAAAGUGUCCAUCAUCCUUGGAAGGCCAUUUCUGAGCACUGCUAAUGCCCACAUUGAUGUCGGGAAAGGAGAAAUCAAGUUCAACAUAAAUGGAAAAGAAGAACACUUCACAUUCAAACCCAGACCAGAGAGAGACUCUACAGUAAAGGAAGUUCAUGAAGAACCACUGGAGACACCAUCUCCAGAGGAAGGUAAUUCAGAAGAUUAAAAGAUUUGGAGGUCCAGCUUGGGGGACCUAAAAAUCCCAAACCCUCAACUGGAGGUAAAUCGGUAUUUAUCUGCAUUAUUAAUUUUAUCAUAUUUAAAUUCUUGCAUAAUUAAUUCUUGCAUUAGUCAUAUAUAUUCAUAGCAUAAUUAUAAUAAUCAAAAAGCCCCAUAUAAAUAAUAUUCGUGGUCUGUAACAACCCAUAUUUAUUAAUUAUUGUGGAGGCACAAAAAUAUUUCCCAUAAUCAUUUUAAAUAAGUUUUAAUUCUCAUAGAUUUUCCUGCAUUAUAUUUAACUAUAUUAAUCUUCUAGAAGCAUGACCCACACUGCUUGGGUCCCACAUGUCAUACACCACACCUCACAUACAUCCCAUCACAUAAUUUCAUCCACCAAUAUGUAUCCACUCACCAGACAUCUUUCCACUGUCCAACCACCACAAACACAAUAUUAUUCUGCGUGAGAUCAAUGCAAGGAAGCAAGUGGAGGAGGCACACCCAGGAUGGACACAAGGAGUGGGCGCCCGCCCACCUACUAAGGGCGCCCGCCCUGUCCCCUGCUCAGCCUAUAAAUGGCCACCUCCAGCUUCCCUUCUCUUCACACACACAUUUCAGAAAACCUUGCAAGCUCGGUUUCCAGAGAAUAGCUCUGAGUGUGAGAAGGUUGGGAGUUCUUUUGAGUGAGAGAGUGAGUAUCACCUAGUAAGUAGUUGUCCAAACAGAAGUAAAAGUUGUUUAGGGGGAGAGGCUCUACCAAAAUAGAAAUUUGUCUUGAACGAUUAACCCUUGGACUACUGACAUUCCGGACAGCUGACCACUAACAUUUUCUCUCACAUUUUCCACUAGUUGUGUUUUUGCCAACUUUUGUUUGCAGGAUGUUUAAGAAGGUGAAGAAUGCAGGGAAGGCUCUCAAGAACAUUGGUACGAGGAGUUCAUCCUGACACUCCUCACACCCAUCAGAGAUGAGCGUCGACCCGACACCCACACAAGCUCCAUCAUCUUCAUCAGGUCAGCAAGUUAAGGUCCUUCUCAAGAUAGGAGACCUAGGACUGAAGACCUGAAGGGAGAAGGAAGUCUAUCAGCAACUGAAGAACAAAGAUUUUAUUCACACCCCUACUCUCGAUCCAAUCUUACUACAAGAAACAGGUAUGGACACUGAAUUUGACUUAAUUUUUCAGAUGAUAGUUGGACAAAUUUUUGGAAUAUAACUGAGCUGGGUUCUCGUCUUCUCACCCUCGAAUUUCUUUGCACUUUACAAUACUAUGAGGGGGGAAUUGUUUUUCGGAUGUUCAAAUAGGAGAUUAUGUUGUCUUGGAGAGAGCUCAGCGACCAUCUUGGUUUCUCUUCAAGAUGCAUCCUGAACAUUGACUCCGAUUUACCCAAUUUUGAGAGACACCAGUUUUGGAGAGAAAUAUCUAGAGAUAAUUUUUAUAGUCAAGCCCGAACCAGUGACAUGGAACACCCCACUCUUAGGAUGUUCCACAAAUGGCUUGGGUAUAAUCUUUUCUAUCGUGAUGAUAUUAGGAAAGUAAGAGUAGGAGAUUUACAACUUUUAUAUGCUGCUAUUAGUAAAAUACCCACUUCACCUAUUACACUAUUAGUUUCUCAUUGGCUUAGUAUACCUAGUCUUCAGGGACCAGUAGGAUGUACUUCACUUAUCACUCGUCUAGCCUUUAAUCUUCACUUACUAGAAAACUCAUCGUUGGACUUCAUAGAUGAGUUAAGAAUUUAUCAUUGCUAUGACACAUUUAGACAAGCUCGGAUGUUAAAGAAAGAGGGGAAUAUAAUGUAUAUGCUAUAUGAUGAUAAAGGCAAGAUUCGGUUACCUAACCCGAACCUUGGCCUCUACGUUGUUCAAAACUUUUUGAUUGAGAUUGCAGCAACACCAGUGAACCAGAGAGCUCCACAGCGAGUGGCGUCUGAAAGGAUGACCACCCAUCGAGAACGCACCUGGUAUGGAGCUGAUCCCGGACCAGAAGAAGCAGCGCACCUGCAUUAUUGUGACUACAACCCUCGAGUCCUUUGAGACCCAUGGGUUCGACAUGCACAACCACAAGAGCCAACAGAGGAGACAUGGCCGGAGAGCCAAGAUCACCAGUGGACAAACCCACCUUUCCAUACGGGCAGGUACUCCACUGAUCCAUAUGGAGCUUCAGGAUCCAGACCUCCGCCCCAAUUUGAUGCAGGACGAUACUCCGACGCCUCCUACGCCUUCACGAAUGACUACUAUCAAGAGGCCGGUGCUUUCUUCACUCGUACCGACAACACCCUCCUCGACAUCCAGAACACGCAAGCAGAACAUGGAAGACUCCUGGAAGAGCAACAAAAUGGAACCAGGACCAUGCCACUACAGUAGAAGAGCUAAGACAAGAUACAACAACAAUGAACGACAACAUCACUACUAUGAUGCGGUUCUGGAAUAUCGGGUAAGACCGACGUCAACAUCCAGCUUGGGGGAGUUCCUCCCCAAUUUAUCAAGUAAGUUUUUAUUUGCUCUUCUUAUUUAUUCUUUCUAUUUUAGUAUUUUAUCUUAAAGGAAAACAUAGAAAACCAAAUAAAUAUUUCCUUGUUUUAAUUUACUGCACUUUAUAAACAUGAAAACAAAAUAAAAAGAGUGUGUAGAUAAGUGUGCUUUAUUUAUCUGCUAAGUUUAAUCUCUAAAAAAACAAAAAGACCAAAAAGAUGCAUGAUGGAAAUAAUGAACAGUUGCUCUGUUUGCUUACUUUUAAGUACCUAGCUUUUAUAUUAGAGUUCUUCCAGGAAUUAUUAAAACUAAAAUUACUAUCUUUGGGAAGCAUAAAACUAAAACGAAAGGCAUGAUAUAAAGUUGAGCUACUGUUUAUCUUGUUUCUACUACACUAAGUUCUGGAGAUUUAUUUUGAAAACUUACAAAUCACAUGAUGAGUUCCUAGCAUAACAAAACUACCUACCACAGCCAUAUUUGCUAUAACAUCUUUUACUAUAUUUACAUUGAGUUUGAUCGAGUUGUGUAGACCCUUAGGAGCUUUUCAUGUGGUUAAAUUUAGAUAUUCACUUGCACACAUCUACCACAACAUUCAUCACCAAUCAUUAAAAUUGCUAAAAAUAUUAUCACUCACUGUCCCAAGUAUUGUUAUACUCUCUAUCUAAAAAGAUUCAAUGCGGAAGAGGCAUGGGUUAUGCAAAAAUAUGCGAGGAAAUAAAAAGGGACAAGUGCCCGGAACCUCGAAAAAGAAAGAAAAAGAGUGAGACGAGAGGUAAAAAUGGACAAGUGUCCAGAGUAGAAUUAGGGGUACAAAGAUGCCCACUUGAGCGGAAAAAAUGGACAAGUGUCUGACAGUAGAAUUAGGGAUAUCUACUACUAUACCCACCUGAAAAAAAAGAGAAAAAGAUAGACCAUGUUCUCCCAAAGCAAAGAUCAAAGAAGAGGAGAGAUAGCAAUAUGAGGAGCAAUAAGAAGUAAGCUUUAUCAUUACCAUCACUAUCAUUUACUCCACCACACAUGCACAUCUUGAUUUAAUUAUAUGCUGAGUUCCUUUGGAUCCAUGGCUCGAUUAGACAACAUAUGUAUGAGCUAUUUUUCACUCCUAUGAGCUCCGCUUAAAUAUUCCAUUAGCUAUAGGUAAGUGACAUUAUGGUAAGGAUCCACAAAUACCACAUAUAGAGAGACUUGAGUGAUUAUUGCUGGGAACUCUGAGUUUUAUUUUGAAAACUUAUGAAAAACUCUGGAACAAAGGUGAAGUAUAGCAGGAGAAAUAGUGCUUGACUUAAUUAUUUUUCUAUCACUUAAAACUUAAGUGCAGGUACUAAGCUCCAUAACACUUCACUCUAAUCUCGAAGAAUUUUUUAUGUAAAAGCAUGUGUGCCUGUCAGAAAAGAAAACAUCGAAGCAACUCCUGAUCCGUCUGAGUUUAGCUAGUUGCUCAGGGACGAGCAAAGGGUAAGCUUGGGAGAGUUUGUUGACGGUCCUCAAGUACUAAAAUUAAUAAUCAAAUAAACAUGGAAAAGGAUCAAUAUGAAACAAACAUCUAGAAUUAGGGUUUUAUCUGACAGAAUUCCACGAGCUUUGGUGUUUAUCUAUUUCUGCAGGGGGUUAUCAGAGAAUAUGGAGAGAAGGCCCACAUGUCAUGUUUACAAUGAGAUAAUUACGUGCCGCGCAAUUUUCCUCAAUCUAGAAGAGUCCAGAAGCCACGGGAACGAACGAGAGCACGAUCGGGCUCGGGGGCAGGGCGGCCGCCCACCCCCCUUGGGCGCCCGCCCAGGGUUGGAACCCAAUCGGGACUCUGCUUCGGGGCAAAACUCCACCGACCUAAAGGAUCAAUCUAAACCACACAAUCAAUGUCGGUUUGAUCUGACGGCCCAAAUUCACUUGAAGGGACUAUAAAACCAAGGCCU